UGCAACUGUGUUCUGGGAAUGUUACGUAUC
rnacentral:piRNA from 1 species